AAGCCAUGGUGUGGGCAUUGAGCUUGGUAGCCCUUGAAUCUCUCCCAGGCUUCACUGAAGCCUUCCAAGUUCUUCUGUUGAAAGCUGGAAAUCUCGUUUCCAGCUU
rnacentral:snoRNA from 1 species